GAUGAACGCUGGCGGCGUGCCUAAUACAUGCAAGUCGAGCGAACAGACGAGGAGCUUGCUCCUCUGACGUUAGCGGCGGACGGGUGAGUAACACGUGGAUAACCUACCUAUAAGACUGGGAUAACUUCGGGAAACCGGAGCUAAUACCGGAUAAUAUAUUGAACCGCAUGGUUCAAUAGUGAAAGACGGUUUUGCUGUCACUUAUAGAUGGAUCCGCGCCGCAUUAGAUAGUUGGUAAGGUAACGGCUUACCAAGGCAACGAUGCGUAGCCGACCGGGAAGUGUGGUAGGCCACACUGGAGCUGAGACACGGUCCAGACUCCUACGGGAGGCAGCAGUAGGGAAUCUUCCGCAGUUGGCGAAAGCUUGACGGAGCAACGCCGCGUGAGUGAUGAAGGUCUUCUGAUCGUAAAACACUGUUAUUAGGGAUGAACAAAUGUGUAAGUAACUAUGCACGUCUUGACGGUACCUAAUCAGAAGGCCACGGCUAACUACGUG
rnacentral:rRNA from 1 species